UAUUUUCAUUAUAUUUUAUAUAAAAUAAACAUUUACAUAAAUUUUAUUUUGGAAAGACCUAGGCAAAGUGUACAUAAUCAGACUUAAAUGGGAGGCAUAGCUUAUGGGAAAUAUAUUUCUAACUGGCACAGCAGAAGUUAACAAAAAUGUACAUUUAUAUACAACUGAUCAAAGUAGGAAAUAACAACAUGAAAAGAACCCGAUGCAAGUCAUUUUCUCCCUGAUAAAAAGAGGGAUCAGCAUGAGUCACAGCAAGUCAGAUGGUUUCCACAUUAUAAAAGCAAGCCAUUUGCUUUAAAAUACAACAGAUAUUUUAAUUCCUUUGGAUAAAAUUUUUAAAAAUAUUUUUUCCCUAGAAACAUAACAAAAUGAUGAAUUUUUCUACGUACAGAUUGCAAAAAAAAAGAGAAAUUAUCUCUGCCAUAUUAAAGCACUUGGACAGUGCAGUCACUUUUAUGGUUGUUAAGUAUCUUCAGAAUUUCUAAAAAAAGAGCAACGCUGAUCAGUUAUCUCUUCAGAGGUAGAGGGCUUUAUGUCUGGUUUCUGGAACUUGACAGCUCCACAGAACUAACUAAUCCCUCCCUGGGUGAUAGGUUGAGACACCUGGUAAUCUGCCCAGGGUGAGGCGGCUCCUCCUUAGCAGACCAGUCCUACCACCCACAUUUCCUGAUUCUUGGACUGGUGGUGCACCCCUCUUCUGGGCCAGCAAGGCAACCCCAAAAGGAUGUUAUGCACCUUGGAAAACCUCCAAACGUGAUAUAAAUAUACACCACUUGCACCGUUGAUGAUGGGGUCCUGGAUUUCUGGACAUCAACAUAUCUUUCCAUUUUGGGGUAAAUGGUGGUCUAAACUUACAAACUAAUAAUAACCAAAAUUGUAAUGGAUACUGAUUUUAUGAGCUACAUGCCCUAAAAGGUUUUAACUAAAAGGAUCAUUGGGGAUGAAAAUAGUAUAUUUUCAUACAAGCCAUUUGAUAGACACGAAAGUCAUCAAUUCUGUUGUGUCAUUUUUAUUUUGCUGAUAUUGUAACCACUUCUUUGAGUGUAGUUAUUUCUUCUCUUUAAGUUAAUGACUACUAAAAACAAAAAAAUAAUGAAGAAUGCUAUUCUUGCAAGUAUUUAAUAAGUAUUAAUAAUUAUUAGCAUUGUAUUUAAUUAAAUUUAAUUAUAAUAAGUAUUUGAAUUUGAUUGUAUUUUGUUUUUCAAUGCUAUUGAAGAACCUUUCAGCAGAUUUUUCUUUUACAUCAAAACUUCAAGAAUCAUAAAAAAUUAUAAUAUUUCCAUAUAUAAUAUAUAUGGUAUUGUGAGCUUCUAUCUUAGUCAAUUCAACUUAAAUGCAAGAUUUGACAAGUAUCUGUUCUUUUAAAAUGCCAAAAGAUAUCAGAAAGUUAUGUUUUGCUAUUAUUGGGAGAUAUACCAACAUGCAAUUUGAUCUAAGUAAAGGUGAUUUGGAAAGUAGGUGAAGAAAUUAAAAACAAACCACCCAUAAGUACAUUGGCAUUGAUUAUUGUUACUAAUAUCCUAUAGAUUUAUUUGUCUAAGAUGCACAUCCUUCACACAUCAGAUCAAAAGUUUCAUUUUUCCCCCAAAAACUGACUCUAAUGAGUACAAUUAAGAAACGAUGAACAAAACUUGACAUGUGUGUAAUGAAAAGAGAGAAGUAUAGGCAUAAAGUCUAUGCCAUGAACACCUUACAUGAGUUUUAUAUAUUGAGUGCCUUGUCUGUGUAUAAAAAUGGUAAUUCCUCUUCCUCUGAGAACCAAGAAUUCUGAAAAUGCACAGUCAAAUUAUACUCCAUUUGCCACAAGUGCACACCACCCCACCUGACCCAUCUGUUUGUCAAUCUUGAAACAAGUCUCAACCAAUCAGCUGUGCCAUAAAUCAUUUUUUAGACUUCUUUGGCUUGUUUUAGUCUAGAUUUAAACAUAAAAGUUCCAUUAAAGUUGGGAGACUGCAGUGGUUCUCCAGCCUAGCUGCAUAUGGGCAGCCGGCCUCUCCAAGAUGCCCAAAGGGCCCCAGGUGACCCCUCAGUCCAGCCAGGCCCGAGAGCCCUUGUAUGAAGGAAUACUUCUCAACUAUUAGCUGAAUGUGGCUCUGGAAUGUUUAGUAGAGACAGUGAGAAGCCCCACAUUUGUUUUUAUUCCCCCCAAGUUACAGUUUUUGUGGGUCGGUUUGUAGAGAAGUUUGGAUUUCCUCAUUUAGUCCUGUUGAAAACAUUGUACACCCACCACAAACCAGUGUGUCAAAUGAGGGAUGAUCUACAGUGCAUGUCACAGUCUCCUGCUAGGGGCCGUGAGGUAUUCUAGGAAGUUGUAAUUAAAGUGCUGGCAAUCCUCUAUGUUUUGUGAUAAACUUCAAAAUAAACAAACCCAACAGAACGGAUCUCAGGAUUCCCUAAGAUACGAUGUCUUUUCCUCCAAGGUAUUUGAAUCUUUGGUUUAGUUUACCUAGGUGACGUCACUGAACCGUGUUUUAUGAAUACUGUUAACAGCCUGAAAACAUCUGGGUCACUUACAAAAUCCUGAAGAAUUCUUAAGGUUGAAAUGAACUUGUAGAGCCAUUCUCGAGGCUCCCACAUCAAAGGACUGCCACUCACUGGGAAUCUUAAAGGCAAGGAGGACUGGUUGUAGGUAGGACAGGAAAACAGGUUAGGUAGAUGGGCAGUCAGCGGGGGAUAGAUAUAGUCAAGGAACUCUAAAUGUAGCUGAGAAAGAAAAGAAAGUGCUGCUCAGAGUAGCACAGUCACAGAUGAAAUUCUGAUCAUUGGCUCAAGGGUUCAGCCAGACUAAAGCAACUCCUGUCUUGUCCUCAGCCAACUUCCCUUCUCCCGAGGGCACCCUAUGUAUUUAAGGAUCCAGUGUAAAAUGGAAUCGCAGGACCCCUCGUUCAAAAACUAUUAAGAAUUUCAAGCAAAGCCUUCAACCAAGCACAGAGGGCUUUUGAGGGCAGGACCCUGAGGGACCACAUGAACUGCAAGUCCAUGAGGCUGGCUCUGUGGUCCCAUCUCAGAAAAGGGGCCAUCACCUCUCCUGCCAAGCUUUUAUUAGGGAAAUGGUUAUUUUAUUUUAUUUUAUUUUUUAGGGAAAUGCUUUUAUUAGGGAAAUCUGGAUAUAUCUCCUUGACUAGCCAGGGCACUCUGUUUUUAUUGAUAAGAAUGAAUUCCGCAUAUUAGUUCAUGUUAUAAGAACCAAAUAAAAAUAGUUAUAAAAUACACUUAAUAUCUUUGAAAAAUAACAUGUGAUUUAUUUUCUUAUAGGCACCAUUUAACUAUGAAAACUAUUUCAUUGGCUACAUCUCAGUGACAUUAUUAAAUCAGGAUAAAAAUAUCUGACCCAACAAACAGUGCUUAUUUUUAAUGUUCAGAAGGAUGCCAGUGUGCACACACAGAGUGAGCCAGAGUGACAGUGAGAAAGAGCGGGGGAGGGACAGAAUGAAGGGAGAGAUUGCUGGGUGUGGGGAGAGGGACAGGGGAGGGAAGGAAGGAGGGACACACACAAGAAGUCAUGGGGAGAGAGAAAAGCACCCAAAAGAAGGUAGAACCAAAAUCCAGAAGGCCACAUGACCCCUUCCUUCAGAAACUUUUAGGCUGUAGCCGCCAUUUUAAUCAUUCCCACUAAUGUACCCUCAUACCUUUAGCAGCACUUCAAGUAAGGCAUAAUUUUGUUUUUCAAAAUUUGGGGCUUAGUCUUUUCCAUUAACUUCCUAAGUGUGGAUUUUGGUCACAGAUUAUUCUAUAAAGUUGUGAUUAAAGUCUCAGAUACUGUUUUUAGCUAGGACUUCAUGUUUUUUCCAUUUAGGGGUGGACUGAUCAUUUAAAAUGAACACUGUGGUACAUUUCUUGGCCUUAGGGUAUAAAAGUAUGAUUUUGAGGAAAAUGAAAAUAUUUCUUAAAAAUUUUUAAUUUUUUUUAUUUUUGAUAAUGAAAAUAUUCUAAAUAGAAUUUUAGAUAAAUUUCUGAUGUAUAAGGUUGAAAGACUAUUAGAAACAGAAGAUCUUAGUGGCAAGAGAUACACUGUUGGAUUAUUGAUGCACAUAAAUACAUGUAUGCUAAUUCAAAUUUGCAAUCCUUUGCAUUUAAAACAUUCCUUGCAUCAUCCCUUUCCAAAGAAGUUCUUUUAACUAGACUUACCUUAACAAAAAAAUAGUAACACCAAGGGGCAUUACUUCCUGAUUUUGUGUUGAAAAGAAGCAGGCUUUUUACCCUGCCCUGGCCUGAGCAUGUGAA
rnacentral:lncRNA from 1 species